CAUCGCCGAACUCUUCUUAGCUCUCAUCGUUCCUCUUCUCUCUCUCUCUCUCUCUCUCUCUCUCUCUCUCUCUCUGUGCGCGAAACAAUGGAGAAGGUGAGGAAUCGCCGAAGGUACAUUCGCCAAGAACACUGACACCGGAGAUAGCAUUGCCAUUAAGGUCAUGGCUAAAUCUACCAUUAUCAAGCAUUGAAUGGUUGAACAGGUUGAAUUUAUAUCAGCCACAAAUACAAGGAAGAUGUGAAACUCAUGGUGGAAACAGGCCUUGAUGCCUAUAGGUUAUCCAUUUCUUGGUCAAGAUUGAUUCCAAAUGGUAGAGGACCCAUCAAUCCCAAGGGAUUGCAAUUCUAUAACAAUCUCAUCAAUGAACUCAUUAGCAGUGGUCAGCCCUUCACAAAUUGAGGUACAUGCAGGUUGGGCUUCUCGAAGGAAACCUUAUGCAUACAUCUACACUUCAGAUGGGAUGUCUCUCUAUGAGUUAGCAAUGUUUAUACUAAAAGAACGGAAAUACACUGCAAAGUAUAAUGAUGAUCUAUGCGUUGUCUGUUGGGAUGGGGGAAACCUGCUGCUCUGUGAUGGAUGCCCAAGGUCGUUUCACAAAGGUGAGAUGCAAAAUUUAUGAAAAA